GGGGACCGCAAGACCUUGCGCUGAUUGAGCGGCCGAUAUCAGAUUAGCUAGUUGGUGAGGUAAAAGCUCACCAAGGCGACGAUCUGUAGCGGGUCUGAGAGGAUGAUCCGCCACACUGGAACUGAGACACGGUCCAGACUCCUACGGGAGGCAGCAGUGGGGAAUUUUGGACAAUGGGGGCAACCCUGAUCCAGCCAUGCCGCGUGAGUGAAGAAGGCCUUCGGGUUGUAAAGCUCUUUCAGCCGGGAAGAAAAUGCAUGGGUUAAUACCCUGUGCAGAUGACGGUACCGGAAUAAGAAACACCGGCUAACUACGUGCCAGCAGCCGCGGUAAUACGUAGGGUGCGAGCGUUAAUCGGAAUUACUGGGCGUAAAGCGUGCGCAGGCGGUUUUGUAAGACAGGCGUGAAAUCCCCGGGCUUAACCUGGGAACUGCGUUUGUGACUGCAAGGCUAGAGUACGGCAGAGGGGGGUGGAAUUCCACGUGUAGCAGUGAAAUGCGUAGAGAUGUGGAGGAACACCAAUGGCGAAGGCAGCCCCCUGGGUCGAUACUGACGCUCAUGCACGAAAGCGUGGGUAGCAAACAGGAUUAGAUACCCUGGUAGUCCACGCCCUAAACGAUGUCAACUAGGUGUUGGGAGGGUAAAACCUUUUAGUACCGUAGCUAACGCGAGAAGUUGACCGCCUGGGGAGUACGGCCGCAAGGUUAAAACACAAAGGAAUUGACGGGGACCCGCACAAGCGGUGGAUGAUGUGGAUUAAUUCGAUGCAACGCGAAAAACCUUACCUACCCUUGACAUGUCAGGAACUUUCCAGAGAUGGAUUGGUGCUCGAAAGAGAACCUGAACACAGGUGCUGCAUGGCUGUCGUCAGCUCGUGUCGUGAGAUGUUGGGUUAAGUCCCGCAACGAGCGCAACCCUUGUCGUUAAUUGCCAUCAUUCAGUUGGGCACUUUAACGAGACUGCCGGUGACAAACCGGAGGAAGGUGGGGAUGACGUCAAGUCCUCAUGGCCCUUAUGGGUAGGGCUUCACACGUCAUACAAUGGUCGGUACAAAGGGUCGCCAACCCGCGAGGGGGAGCCAAUCCCAUAAAGCCGAUCGUAGUCCGGAUUGUAGGCUGCAACUCGCCUGCAUGAAGUCGGAAUCGCUAGUAAUCGUGGAUCAGCAUGUCACGGUGAAUACGUUCCCGGGUCUUGUACACACCGCCCGUCACACCAUGGGAGCGGGUUCCGCCAGAAGUAGGUAGCCUAACCGCAAGGGGGGCGCUUACCACGGCGGGGUUCGUGACUGGGGUGAAGUCGUAACAAGGUA
rnacentral:rRNA from 1 species